rnacentral:misc_RNA from 1 species
UCCGGUUUAACACCGGCAGUCCCAAUAGAGUUCCCAGCUUUACCUGAUGGCAACUAUUGGCAAGGGUUGCGCUCGUUGCGGGACUUAACCCAACAUCUCACGACACGAGCUGACGACAGCCAUGCAGCACCUCCACAGCGAUUCCGAAGAAAAGGCACAUUUCUGCGCCGGUCCGCUGCAGUUCAAACCCAGGUGAGGUUCUGCGCGUUGCGUCGAAUUAAACCACAUGCACCACCGCUUGUGCGGGUCCCCGUCAAUUCCUUUGAGUUUUAACCUUGCGGCCGUACUCCCCAGGCGGUCGACUUCACGCGUUAGCUUCGUUACUGAGAGUGUCAAACCCCCAACAACCAGUCGACAUCGUUUAGGGCGUGGACUAC